rnacentral:lncRNA from 10 species
CCACCAGCUCUGUGACCUUAAGUCUGAUGCUGGUCUGGGCAGAAAUGGAUUUGUCACCUCAAAGAUGACUUCCUUGGGCACAACUAGGCCAGACGCUGGGUACCUUGUGGUGGCCCUGGAGGGGUACAGCUUCAAGAAAGAACUUGCCGAUCCCCUGCAAAGAAUGCAGUUAGCCAACAGCCUUCGGCCUCAGCACAUUUGAGAUCUGCCUUAACUUUCAAGCCAAGGCUAGCUCUUCCUGAGCAGGCUCCAGCGAAGAACCUGCAUGGAGGGACUAGGACCCGACCAGUUCUGCCCAACAUGGGGCUCCCCUAACAAACAGUCUUUGUUCUGGAGCUCCCAAACUGAGUUGACAAAGCCUCUGUCAGCCCUGCAUUGCCGUCUGAGGCUCCCCUGCUGAGUGCUGCUUUCACCCACUUUUGUCUUUCACAGGCAUGACACUCCUCCCUCUCGUCCUACUAGCUCCACUUUACCAUCUGCUUCCCAGAGGACUGGAACUGACAUGCUGCCUUUACUACCCCGCAACCAUUCUCACCCCACCUCCACAUAUGCCUGCCCAAAUAAUCUUGAUUUUGGGCUCAGCUACUAGAUCGAAAUCCCUUCAUCUUUGGAGAGUGGGUUGCUCCCCAGCCCCAGCAGAUAAAUCAUGAUCUGUCUUAAGUAGACCCAGUAAGUCCUUUCUGUUCUACAGGAAUUGGUCCAGGAUGGGUGCCUGGUCCGCCUUUUAGCCAAUGAGAGGUCAGGGGAAAUCUGGGGCUUCACUUUACUAAUAACAUAGACCUUCAGGUAGUUAAAGCCUUCUGCCCUGCCCCUUCCCUUCCAUUUUGAUCAGUGUCCUGUGAUCAAAUGAUGUGAGGCACUGCAGCAGCUGUUUUGGGCAAUGAGUUUGAGGACAAAAGCCAACUGCUGAAGAUGACAGAGCAGAAAGAUGAGAAGAGCCUGAGUCCUGAAGAACACCCCCGAGCCCCUGCAAUGACUCUGGAGCUGCUGACCUCCACAUGUUUUGCUAUAAAAAAAAAGAUUGCAUUUCUUCUUUGCUCAAGCCACCAUGAAUCAGGCAUGCUGUGACUGGCCGCUGAAAAUAUGGUAACGCAUGCAGUCACAUUCCCCAUGUUCUAUUCUCCAGAUUACCUUCAAACAACUGAAGGUACAGGACUCAGAGUUCCCGUUGAGGUAUUUGAACUAUUUUCCUGGAAGGGAAAUAUUCAAAAAGUCCUCUCAGCCCCGGGCACAGUGGCUUACACUGUGGAUUACAAAAGGACUUUUAAGGACUCAUAGGAUUACAAAAUCCUGUAAUCCCAGCACUUUGGUGGGCAGGUCACCUGAGAUCAGGAGUUCAAGACCAGCCUGGCCAAAAUGGUGAAAUCCCGUCUGUACUAAAAUUAUAAAAAUUACCGAGUGUGGAGGUGCAUGCCUGUAAUUCCAGCUACUGGGGAGGCUGAGGCAGGAGAAUCACUUGAACCCGGGAGGCCGAGGUUGCAGUGAGCUGAGAUCACACCAUUGCACUCUAGCCUGGGCAACAGAGUGAGACUGCAUCUAAAAAAAAAAACCAAAAAAAUUAUCUCAUUUCCAACUUGCCAACACCUGUGAUAAUGUAAACCAAAAAUGAAAUUCUAAGCCCCUCAACUGACUGAAUGAAUCCCCAUCUUCACCAAGGUGAUCCCAAAGAAAACCUGAAAAACUAGUUCAGGCCAUGAUGGGAAGGAAGGUCAGAUAUGCCUCUUCGCCUCUUCAUACUUUCCUCCCUUUGGAGUUUAGGCACAACUGGUCAGCAUUCAUAUUAAAAUACAGAUCAUCAUAGGGCGGGCAUGGUGGCUCACGCCUGUAAUCCCAGCACUUUGGGAGGCCGAGGCAGGCAGAUCACUUGAAGUCAGGAGUUUGAGACCAGCCUGGCCAACAUGGUGAAACCCCGUCUCUACCAAAAAUACAAAAAUUAGCCAGGCAUGGUGGCAGGCGCCUGUAAUCCCAGCUACUUGGGAGGCUGAGGCAGGAGAAUUGCUUGAACCUGGGAGGUGGAGGUUGCAGUGAGCUGAGUUCGCUCCACUGCAAUCCAGCCUGGGUGACAGAGCGAGACUCCAUCUCAAAAAACAAAACAAAACACAAAAAACCAGAUCAUCAGAUGGACAAAACAGACUCUUUGUGCAAUAAGAUACCAAAUUCCAACCUGACCCUGUAUGUGAUGUAGAGCAUAACAGUGACAGAUAACAGGCCCUAAGGAAAGUCAAAGUAUUUUACCCCAAGAUAUAUUUAUUUGACAUAUUUUGGAGUGACCCUGCAAAGCCCACUCUUUGCCUUCUGUAGCGAAUCCCCUUCCUGUUCCAGGUCUUUUCCUGAUCCAGGAGAGAAUUAAACUAAGAGUCUAACACCUUUUGAGGUCUAAUAAGAGAAAUCUACCAUCUAUCCUGUCUGAAGCUGGGUGCUUAGAGGCUUCAUCUACAUAAACAAGAACCUUGGCUUCCACAACUCUCUUACCUUAACUCAAGCAUUUCUUUUUCUUUCUUUUUUUUUUUUUUGAGUUGGGUUCUCACCCUGUCACCUAGGCUGGAGUGCAGUGGUGUGAUCUCAGCUCACUGAAACCUCUGCCUCCCAGGUUCAAGCCAUCCUCCUGACUCCACCUCCUGAUAGCUGGGAGCACAGGUGCGUACCACCACGCUGGGCUAAUUUUUGGUAGAGUCAGGGGUCUCUCCAUGUUGCCCAGUCUGGCCUGGGACUCCUAGGCUCAAGCGAUCCACCCGUCUUGGCCUCCUAAAGUGCUGGGAUUAUAGGUGUGAGCCACCGCACCUGACCUCAAACAUUUCUUUAUGCUGACUUCAACUCCUCAGGCAAUGCUUCACUCUUUCAAUCAAUUGCCAAUAAGGAAAUCUUCGAAUCCACCUAUGCCCUGGAAGUCCCUCUGCUUCCAUCUUUGAGAUGUCCUGCCUUUUGAGGCUGAACCAAUGUAUACAUUUCAUGUAUUGCUUUAUGUCUUUGUUUGUGACUUCCAUCUCUCUAAAAUGUAUAAAACCAAACUGCAACCUGACCACCUUGUGCAUAUGUCCUCAGGACCCCCUGAGGCUGUGUCACGGGCCAUGAUCACUCAUAUUUGGGUCAGAAUAAACUUCUUCAAAUAUUUUACGGAGUUUGGCUUUUUUCCUCAACAAUACUUACCUCUCCCUUGCUUCAAACCCUCCCAUGGCUCCCCAGUACUUUUUCAGUUUUUUUUUUGAGACAGAGUUUUGCUCUUUUUGUCCAGGCUGGAGUGUCGUGGUGCGAUC